AGAGUUUGAUCCUGGNNNNNNNNANNGCUGGCGGCAUGCCUUACACAUGCAAGUCGANCGGUAGAGGGGCAACCCUUGAGAGUGGCGAACGGGUGAGUAAUAUAUCGGAACGUGCCCAGUCGUGGGGGAUAACGCAGCGAAAGCUGCGCUAAUACCGCAUACGAUCUAAGGAUGAAAGCGGGGGAUCGCAAGACCUCGCGCGAUUGGAGCGGCCGAUAUCAGAUUAGGUAGUUGGUGGGGUAAAAGCCCACCAAGCCGACGAUCUGUAGCUGGUCUGAGAGGACGACCAGCCACACUGGGACUGAGACACGGCCCAGACUCCUACGGGAGGCAGCAGUGGGGAAUUUUGGACAAUGGGCGCAAGCCUGAUCCAGCAAUGCCGCGUGCAGGACGAAGGCCUUCGGGUUGUAAACUGCUUUUGUACGGAGCGAAACGGUCUGGGUUAAUACCCUGGGCUAAUGACGGUACCGUAAGAAUAAGCACCGGCUAACUACGUGCCAGCCGCCGCGGUAAUUC
rnacentral:rRNA from 1 species